AUUUUAGGUAGUUGUACAAGAGAAAUGGAAAUAAUGUUUCAUUUUCUCUGACAUAUUGGUAUUAAUCAUGUCAUUUUUGGAAUACGUUUUUCAGGAGUCACAGCUUCAUCGUUAUAUAUUGUUGAUCACCUGUGUAACACAUACCCCUCCCUACCCUGCAUAGGAGUAAGAUGUCUUCAUGAUUUUUUGAUGAGCAGAAACACCAUUGUGAAGUUAUCAAAGCUUAUAACAUUACCAGACCUGAUCAGACUGGAGCAUGAUUUAGAUGAACUUUCCAAAGAGAAACAUCUGGAUUAUCGACCUGAGGAUGUAAUUUGUGACGCAUUCUUUGCAUUUAUUGGUGCAAUUUAUAUUGAUCAGGUAAACUGAUAAGUAAAAACCAAUGAUAUAUUAUAAAUAGUGGUUCUAGUGUAACUUUCUCUUAUAUUUUCACCUUUAAGUCAUGCAGUUACCAAUCAUCCCAAAUUUGUUGCACAGAAAUUCAUUAUUUCUGAUCUCUAUUCC